rnacentral:rRNA from 1 species
GACGAACGCCGGCGGCGUGCUUAACACAUGCAAGUCGAACGGUAAGGCCCUUCGGGGUACACGAGUGGCGAACGGGUGAGUAACACGUGGGUGAUCUGCCCUGCACUUCGGGAUAAGCCUGGGAAACUGGGUCUAAUACCGGAUAGGACUCCGGACUGCAUGGUCUGGGGUGGAAAGCUUUUGUGGUGUGGGAUGGGCCCGCGGCCUAUCAGCUUGUUGGUGGGGUGAUGGCCUACCAAGGCGACGACGGGUAGCCGGCCUGAGAGGGUGACCGGCCACACCGGGAAUGAGAUACGGCCCAGAGUCCUACGGGAGGCAGCAGUGGGGAAUAUUGCACAAUGGGCGCAAGCCUGAUGCAGCGACGCCGCGUGAGGGAUGACGGCCUUCGGGUUGUAAACCUCUUUCAGCAUCGACGAAGCGAAAGUGACGGUAGGUGCAGAAGAAGGACCGGCCAACUACGUGCCAGCCGCCGCAGUAA